GGAAAAGAAACCAACAGGGAUUGCCUUAGUAGCGGCGAGUGAAGCGGCAAAAGCUCAAAUUUGAAAUCUGGCACUUUCAGUGUCCGAGUUGUAAUUUGAAGAAGGUAUCUUUGGGUCUGGCUCUUGUCUAUGUUUCUUGGAACAGAACGUCACAGAGGGUGAGAAUCCCGUGCGAUGAGAUGUCCCAGACCUAUGUAAAGUUCCUUCGAAGAGUCGAGUUGUUUGGGAAUGCAGCUCUAAGUGGGUGGUAAAUUCCAUCUAAAGCUAAAUAUUGGCGAGAGACCGAUAGCGAACAAGUACAGUGAUGGAAAGAUGAAAAGAACUUUGAAAAGAGAGUGAAAAAGUACGUGAAAUUGUUGAAAGGGAAGGGCUUGAGAUCAGACUUGGUAUUUUGUAUGUUACUCUCUCGGGGGUGGCCUCUACAGUUUACCGGGCCAGCAUCAGUUUGAGCGGUAGGAUAAGUGCAAAGAAAUGUGGCACUGCUUCGGUAGUGUGUUAUAGUCUUUGUCGAUACUGCCAGCUUAGACUGAGGACUGCGGCUUCGGCCUAGGAUGUUGGCAUAAUGAUCUUAAGUCGCCCGUCUUG
rnacentral:rRNA from 1 species